CUGAUAAAAUACAUGCCCAUGUAAAAUAGGUUAUGCUGUUAAAAACACAUCGAUUGAUUUUCAAAUCCACUGUCAUUAUUGCUCAUUAUUCUCUAAAAUGCACCCUUUUAGAUAAGUCCAUUCCAUGAACAAACCAGUAUUUGGAGCAUCGGAAUAAACCCGGAAGAAGAGUGCACAUCCAUUUUACGUAUCAGAUUCAAAAACUCCAACCAAUCAAGACAGAAGUUCUUUCAAGAGUGAACAAACAAACUAGGGUCAUAGAUUAUCAUCACCAUAAAUUAUGCUAUGGACGUCAAGGACCGAAGUUUCACGAAUACACUAAAAUUCACUCUUGAAUUUGAAAUGCGAGUGAAAUUAUGCAUAAACAAAAGGGAAAAUCAAAUUACUUCUUCACGAAGACAGAAUGAAAACAUGAGAUAUAUAACAUGCCUUGUGAAAAGGAAUUCCUUACCGACGCGCAAGAAUAUCAUUACUUAAACACAGGGCCGAAGAACUAAAGGUUGGAAAGCAUUCUGUUAGAGGUAAAUAGGUUGUUAUAGGGAAAGGAAAAAAGGAGCACAACCACAAAAAAGAAUAACCUGCGCUUGCAAGGAUACUACAAUCUCAAUAAGAAUCUAUUUCAUAAACUUCUUAAAUAACUUGCUUACGAGAAAAAAUAAAUAAUCUUUUUCAAAAAGUAAAAUAUAUUUAUAUGGAAAUUAAAAGACAUAAGCAUUUUAACAAGUUUAAUUCUAAAAAAAUUCAAAUUAAUUAAUACGUAAACUAAUUAUAAAAUCUGAAAAAGAAUUCUAUAAAUGCUUACAGAAAAAUUUAUCAUACUGUAUCAUCAGUUUUGUUCGGAAGCAGACAAUUUCCGAAAAACAUAAUUGUUAUUUUAAAAAAAUUCUAAAAAUGUUGAAAACACUAGAUUGUGAGUUCAGAAUAAACUCAAUCAAACACUACAAGAAGUACUUUAGACUAGUUAAUCAACGCACAAGGAUAGAACAAUGAAAAGGAAAAUUAGCAGAGUAUUCUACAGAAGUAACCAGCAGCAAACAAUAAUGCAUUUUGUUCAGUACGGCUAAUAUAUCAGAUUUAUUUUUUCUAACCUUUCAUAGCAAAAUCACAAAUCAAAACAUUGGCUGCCAUCCACAACAUCUCUAUAGGCAUUCUCUAGGAAAAACACGAAAGGAACCAAUACAACAUCAUUUCAAAUCACACCGGAAACAUCUAGAUUUAAUUACUCUCCUGGAAAAAACAAAAACACUUUGAAAGAAAUGUUGAUACAGAGAAUUCGUCAGCGUUAUAUAGCUAACUAAUCUUGCGGCAUGAAAAAGGAGGAAGCAUCUAAAGAGUAUUA
rnacentral:sRNA from 1 species